rnacentral:rRNA from 1 species
AACGAACGCUGGCGGCAUGCCUAACACAUGCAAGUCGAACGAGACCUUCGGGUCUAGUGGCGCACGGGUGCGUAACGCGUGGGAACCUGCCCUUAGGUUCGGAAUAACUCCCCGAAAGGGGUGCUAAUACCGGAUAAUGUCUUCGGACCAAAGAUUUAUCGCCUUUGGAUGGGCCCGCGUUGGAUUAGCUAGUUGGUAGGGUAAAAGCCUACCAAGGCGACGAUCCAUAGCUGGUCUGAGAGGAUGAUCAGCCACACUGGGACUGAGACACGGCCCAGAAUCCUACGGGAGGCAGCAGUGGGGAAUAUUGGACAAUGGGCGAAAGACUGAUCCAGCAAUGCCGCGUGAGUGAUGAAGGCAUUAGGGUUGUAAAGCUCUUUUAACCGGGAUGAUAAUGACAGUACCGGGAGAAUAAGCUCCGGCUAACUCCGUG